ACCGCCGUAGCUCAGCCGGAUGGAGCAACUGCCUGUCGAGCAGAAGGUCACGGGUUCGAGUCCCGUCGGUGGCGCCA
rnacentral:tRNA from 1 species